rnacentral:rRNA from 1 species
CGGUGGCUAAUACCGGAUGUGCCGCAGGUGAAGGUUAACUGCCUGAAGAUGAGCUCGCGUCUGAUUAGCUAGUUGGUGUGGUAAGAGCGCACCAAGGCGACGAUCAGUAGCUGGUCUGAGAGGACGAUCAGCCACACUGGGACUGAGACACGGCCCAGACUCCUACGGGAGGCAGCAGUGGGGAAUUUUCCGCAAUGGGCGAAAGCCUGACGGAGCAAUACCGCGUGAGGGAGGAAGGCUCUUGGGUCGUAAACCUCUUUUCUCAGGGAAGAACACAAUGACGGUACCUGAGGAAUAAGCAUCGGCUAACUCCGUGCCAGCAGCCGCGGUAAUACGGAGGGAUGCAAGCGUUAUCCGGAAUGAUUGGGCGUAAAGCGUCCGCAGGUGGCUAUGUAAGUCUGCUGUUAAAGAGUCUAGCUCAACUAGAUAAGAGCAGUGGAAACUACAAGGCUAGAGUGCGUUCGGGGCARAGGGAAUUCCUGGUGUAGCG